rnacentral:rRNA from 1 species
GACGGCCUUCCGGGUUGUAAACCUCUUUCACCAUCGACGAAAGGUCCGGGUUUUUCUCGGAUUGACGGUAGGUGGAGAAGAAGCACCGGCCAACUACGUGCCAGCAGCCGCGGUAAUACGUAGGGUGCGAGCGUUGUCCGGAAUUACUGGGCGUAAAGAGCUCGUAGGUGGUUUGUCGCGUUGUUCGUGAAAUCUCACGGCUUAACUGUGAGCGUGCGGGCGAUACGGGCAGACUAGAGUACUGCAGGGGAGACUGGAAUUCCUGGUGUAGCGGUGGAAUGCGCAGAUAUCAGGAGGAACACCGGUGGCGAAGGCGGGUCUCUGGGCAGUAACUGACGCUGAGGAGCGAAAGCGUGGGGAGCGAACAGGAUUAGAUACCCUGGUAGUCCACGCCGUAAACGGUGGGUACUAGGUGUGGGUUUCCUUCCUUGGGAUCCGUGCCGUAGCUAACGCAUUAAGUACCCCGCCUGGGGAGUACGGCCGCAAGGCUAAAACUCAAG